rnacentral:rRNA from 1 species
AUGGCACUGCCAGUACAGGCAGCUGCUGUCGUAACUGGAUGUGACCGUACCGCACGACUGUCAUCUGGAUCCGCAUCGGAUCUCGGUGCCGCGGUCGCAGCGGGCACAUGCGGUGGAGAUGCGCAGGCGGCGGGAGCUACUCAUGUCGGAGCAGCGUCAGAUACCGGAGGAGCAACGGCGCCGCAGCAUCCAACACCACGACACCAACCCCCGCCGCCCCCAGUCGUCAAGCAGGAGGAGGAGGCUGCCUACCAGGCGGUGUUUGCGGCAGCCAUGCAGACCUCCAUUAAGGAGGAGCGACGCAAGGCGGAGGCGGACUACCAGCCGCAGCUGGCGGAGGCCCUCGCCCUCUCUGCCGCAAGUAGCAUGAAAAAAACAAAAAAAAUCCACCAAAAAUAUAAACGUGCCAAUAAAGCUGAUAAAACAAUAACAAAUAAAAAUAGAAACUUUAUCACAUGUCUGUAUAUAUGUAUGUAUGUAUGUAUAUAUGUAUGUACAUAUAUAUGUAUAUAUAUUAGAAACUUUAACACAUGUCUGCUUGAACAUGUUGGCUAA